AGCCUAGACCAAUAUAAAACUAAGACAAAGAGGUUGUUUGGGCACGCAGAAGGAAACCCGUCACGACGUGAGCCAUGGGCGCUCUAUGGAUUGCCCUUGCCAGCGCUGUAUCCACAAUCAUAGUCACCACAGAGGUGAUGAGCUCAGAAUUCAGUUGCGGUCCAUUCUGUCCUGAUCUGAAUGCCACAAUGAACUCCUGCGUCACGAUUUGUCCCGACAAAGAACAAGAUGAAGCUCCUUUCGAUCUUCUC
rnacentral:lncRNA from 1 species